AUGAAAAUACGGCUUCGGUCUGAUCUGCCAUAGUCAAGCACCAGAGAGCCCAG
rnacentral:rRNA from 1 species